UAUGUAAAAAGAAAAUAGAUAA
rnacentral:snRNA from 1 species